GUGCUCACUUCGGCAGCACUCAUACUAAAACUGGAAGGAUACAGAGAAGGUUAGCAUGGUCCUUAUGCAAGGAUGACAUGCAAAUUUGUAAAGCAUUUUAUAUUUUA
ensembl:snRNA U6 U6 spliceosomal RNA